rnacentral:rRNA from 1 species
UACGGAGGGGGCUAGCGUUGUUCGGAAUUACUGGGCGUAAAGCGCACGUAGGCGGCUUUGUAAGUUAGAGGUGAAAGCCCAGGGCUUAACCCUGGAAUUGCCUUUAAGACUGCAUCGCUAGAAUCGUGGAGAGGUAAGUGGAAUUCCAAAGUGUAGAGGUGAAAUUCGUAGAUAUUCGGAAGAACACCAGUGGCGAAGGCGACUUACUGGACACGAUUGACGCUGAGG